rnacentral:sRNA from 1 species
CACUGAAUUUGCUAAAAAUGGAGAAAUGUUUGGUAAGCCACACUCAUUUUCAGUAUCUGUUGAAAACCAAUGGCACAAACGUGUCUGGAUUUGCGCGGCCAGUGUUUGGGCCACACAUCCCAGGACCCCGCGGUGUUCCCCAGGGCUCCAUGGGUGGUGGGCAGGCUUUGCCCUGGGGGCUGUAGCUUUGUUUUGUGGCUCCUCAGAUUAUUUGACUUCCAACGGGCACCUGAGUGAGAACGAGGCGCGGAAGAAGUUCUGGCAAAUCCUGUCGGCCGUGGAGUACUGUCACGACCAUCACAUCGUCCACCGGGACCUCAAGACCGAGAACCUCCUGCUGGAUGGCAACAUGGACAUCAAGCUGGCAGAUUUUGGAUUUGGGAAUUUCUACAAGUCAGGAGAGCCUCUGUCCACGUGGUGUGGGAGCCCCCCGUAUGCCGCCCCGGAAGUCUUUGAGGGGAAGGAGUAUGAAGGUCCCCAGCUGGACAUCUGGAGCCUGGGCGUGGUGUUGUACG